UACGGAGGGUGCGAGCGUUGUCCGGAAUCACUGGGCGUAAAGGGCGCGUAGGUGGCCCGUGGAAGUCUGCGGUGAAAGUCCGGCGCUCAACGCCGGAUCGGCCGUGGAUACUCUCGGGCUUGAGCUUACUAGAGGCAGAUGGAAUUCCGGGUGUAGCGGUGGAAUGCGUAGAUAUCGGGAGGAACAUCGAUGGCGAAAGCAACCGUCUGGGCCUGAACUGACACUGAGACACGAAAGCGUGGGGAGCAAACAGG
rnacentral:rRNA from 1 species